UACGUAGGUGGCAAGCGUUGUUCGGAUUUAUUGGGUUUAAAGGGUGCGUAGGCGGCUUGAUAAGUCAGUGGUGAAAGCCGAUCGCUUAACGAUCGAAUUGCCAUUGAUACUGCCAGGCUUGAGUACAGUUGAGGUAGGCGGAAUUGACAGUGUAGCGGUGAAAUGCAUAGAUAUUGUCAAGAACACCAAUUGCGAAGGCAGCUUACUAAAGUGUAACUGACGCUGAGGCACGAAAGUGCGGGGAUCAAACAGG
rnacentral:rRNA from 1 species